GCGUCUGUAGCCUAGUUGGUAAAGGCAGCACUCUAGUAUGUGUCUCAGCAUAGCUGAGGUCGUGAGUUCGACUCUCACCAGGCACA
rnacentral:tRNA from 1 species